rnacentral:rRNA from 1 species
GAUGAACGCUGGCGGCGUGCCUAAUACAUGCAAGUCGAGCGAACAGACGAGGAGCUUGCUCCUCUGACGUUAGCGGCGGACGGGUGAGUAACACGUGGAUAACCUACCUAUAAGACUGGGAUAACUUCGGGAAACCGGAGCUAAUACCGGAUAAUAUAUUGAACCGCAUGGUUCAAUAGUGAAAGACGGUUUUGCUGUCACUUAUAGAUGGAUCCGCGCCGCAUUAGCUAGUUGGUAAGGUAAAGGCUUACCAAGGCGACGAUGCGUAGCCGACCUGAGAGGAUGAUCGGCCACACUGGAACUGAGACACGGUCCAGACUCCUACGGGAGGCAGCAGUAGGGAAUCUUCCGCAAUGGGCGAAAGCUUGACGGAGCAACGCCGCGUGAGUGAUGAAGGUCUUCGGAUCGUAAAACUCUGUUAUUAGGGAAGAACAAAUGUGGAAGUAUCUAUGCACGUCUUGACGGUACCUAAUCAGAAAGCCACGGCUAACUACGUG